CUGAAGCGCCUCGAGGAUGUUGCUGGCCUUGUUUUUUCUUACACAAGGCAAAUGUGCACUCCUUCGGACAUUUCAAAAAAAAUUUCCAUCACAACCUUUUGUGCACUUCUUGUAGGAAAUGCCCUCCCCUCCCGGGUUGGUGCUUUUCCUAUGUACCCUUUCAUUUGAAACCCUGAUGCAUUUUUCGAAUGGUUGUUGUACAACAUAUAAUGUAUAAUAAAA
rnacentral:misc_RNA from 1 species